AAAUUAUUAUGGAGUAUUAUUAUUGAGUUAGAUAUUGUGUUAAGAAUUGGGUUUAAAGUUGGAUUUAGUAUUGUUAGAAUGAGUUAGUAACGUUUUUAAGAAUUUUUUUUUUUUUAGGUAUUUUAGAUAUAUAUUGUUGUCGUUUCGUUUUUUAGUUUUGUGGAUAAAGUUAGGGGUUGAGAGUGGAGAUUAUUGUUUUUUUGAAAGGUGAU
rnacentral:misc_RNA from 1 species